rnacentral:rRNA from 1 species
AGCGAACGCUGGCGGCAGGCCUAACACAUGCAAGUCGAACGAACUCUUCGGAGUUAGUGGCGGACGGGUGAGUAACACGUGGGAACGUGCCUUUAGGUUCGGAAUAACUCAGGGAAACUUGUGCUAAUACCGAAUGUGCCCUUCGGGGGAAAGAUUUAUCGCCUUUAGAGCGGCCCGCGUCUGAUUAGCUAGUUGGUGAGGUAAAGGCUCACCAAGGCUACGAUCAGUAGCUGGUCUAAGAGGAUGACCAGCCACAUUGGGACUGAGACACGGCCCAAACUCCUACGGGAGGCAGCAGUGGGGAAUCUUGCGCAAUGGGCGAAAGCCUGACGCAGCCAUGCCGCGUGGAUGAUGAAGGUCUUAGGAUUGUAAAAUCCUUUCACCGGUGAAGAUAAUGACUGUAGCCGGAGAAGAAGCCCCGGCUAACUUCGUGCCAGCAGCCGCAGUAA